CCACUUCCGCUCCGGGUGCACUGAAUCACAACGUCUAGACGACGAGGCCUGGACCACAACACCACGCCUCCCUCUCCUCGCCCCGCAUUGUCGCACCUCGAGCCCUGAGAUUCAAACCCCUCCGAGAAACUCGUCUGCAUGAGAUUUGACCACGACACAAAACGUUUCAAACCAUCCCGGACAUUUGAGGAUGAAGAUGAAAUCCCUGCCGGGCCUGUUCUUGGUCGACCUGUGCAGUAACCAAAACACUGCUCAUUUUCGCUUUCCUUCACAAGGCAACACUUGCACUGUGUAUAAAUGUAUAUAGCUAUUUAAAAAAAAAAAAAUUCCGCCUCCAUUGUUUAUUGUUUAUUUUUGCUAUAUUUGUGAUGUUUCUACAUCUUUCCUGAUGCUGCUGCUGUAACAAGCGAAUUUCCCCCGGCGUGGGAUCAAUAAAGUCUAUCUUACCUUAUCUUAACUCA